rfam:Schistosoma rodhaini strain Burundi genome assembly, scaffold: SROB_scaffold0008572
ACCUUACUGAUGAGUGCCAAGUAGGACGAAACCUAGGUCCAGGGU